CACGGUGGAUGCCUUGGCACUAGAAGCCGAUGAAGGACGUUACUAACGACGAUAUGCUUUGGGGAGCUGUAAGUAAGCUUUGAUCCAGAGAUUUCCGAAUGGGGAAACCCAGCACGAGUUAUGUCGUGUUAUCUGCAUGUGAAUACAUAGCAUGCAAGAAGGCAGACCCGGAGAACUGAAACAUCUUAGUACCCGGAGGAAGAGAAAGAAAAAUCGAUUCCCUGAGUAGCGGCGAGCGAAACGGGAAGAGCCCAAACCAAUAAGCUUGCUUA
rnacentral:rRNA from 1 species